AAAACUAAAAGAAUAAGUUAUUUAAUUCGACUAAACAAAGUAAGCUUAUAACAAACAAAAGUAUAAUUAAAAAAAAUAUAAAAGUAAAAUUUGAAUAUUAUUUCAAGAAACCAAACUAUACUUAAUCAGUAGAUCUUUGAAACUUUGGAUAUAAACCGGGAUUAGAUACCCCAUUAUUCCAUAACGUAAACAGAUAAUAUGUCAGAAUAGUAAGAGCCCUACGCUUAAAACUCAAAGAACUUGGCGGUACAUCAUACUGCUCAGGGGAACCUGUCUCAAAAAUUGAUAAUCCACAAUACACCUCACCUUGAUUUGCCAUUCCAGUCUAUAUACCGUCGUCAAAAGUUAGCUUUAAAUAAAAAAUAAGCUAGCAAAAAAUUACAAAUAAAAUCUUAAGUCAGAUCAACGUAUAACCUACAUCAAGGCUGAGAUGGGUUACAAUUAUAAAAUCAUAUAAAAUGGACUAUAGUGUGAAACUACUAUAAUAAUUAGAAAAAGGACCUGAAAGUAAAAAUAUCUAGAAAAACUUCUUGAAUAAUGCUCUGAUAUGUGC
rnacentral:rRNA from 1 species